UACGUAGGAGGCGAGCGUUGUCCGGAAUUACUGGGCGUAAAGCGCGCGUAGGCGGUAGGGUACGACCGGUGUGAAAGCCCCCGGCUCAACUGGGGAGGGUCACGGGUAACGGCUCUACUUGGAGUGCAGGAGAGGGAAGUGGAACUCCGGGAGUAGCGGUGAAAUGCGUAGAUACCCGGAGGAACACCAGUGGCGAAGGCGACUUACUGGACACAUAUUGACGCUGAGGUGCGAAAGCGUGGGGAGCAAACAGG
rnacentral:rRNA from 1 species